UACGGAGGGUGCAAGCGUUAUCCGGAUUCACUGGGUUAAAGGGUGCGUAGGUGGGCAGGUAAGUCCGUGGUGAAAUCUCUGAGCUUAACUCAGAAACUGCCGUGGAUACUAUUUGUCUUGAAUAUUGUGGAGGUGAGCGGAAUAUGUCAUGUAGCGGUGAAAUGCUUAGAUAUGACAUAGAACACCAAUUGCGAAGGCAGCUCACUACACAAUUAUUGACGCUGAGGCACGAAAGCGUGGGGAUCAAACAGG
rnacentral:rRNA from 1 species